UUAGUGGCGGACGGGUGAGUAACGCGUGGGUAACCUGCCUUACACAGGGGGAUAACACUUAGAAAUAGGUGCUAAAACCGCAUAAGCGCACAGCUUCGCAUGAAGCGGUGUGAAAAACUCCGGUGGUGUAAGAUGGACCCGCGUCUGAUUAGCUUGUUGGCGGGGUAACGGCCCACCAAGGCGACGAUCAGUAGCCGGCCUGAGAGGGCGGACGGCCACAUUGGGACUGAGGCACGGCCCAGACUCCUACGGGAGGCAGCAG
rnacentral:rRNA from 1 species